UUUUUUUGUUUUUUUUUUUUUGGUUGCGUCUAUUGACGCUUUAAGGAAGGAAGUUUAGGGAAUAUCAGGAUGGUUUGCGCGCGCAGUUGGAGUAAGCAGCUGAUCUGAACUUCUUCACUCCGCCGUUUGGUCGAACGUCUUCAAUGCUGUAGCCGAGGGGAGCUUCGUAAAAUAAGGAACUACUACUACUAGACUUCUUUUUACCACCUUUUGACUCCAUUAGAUCA
rnacentral:misc_RNA from 1 species